rnacentral:rRNA from 1 species
AGAGUUUGAUCCUGGCUCAGGAUGAACGCUGGCGGCGUGUCUAAGGCAUGCAAGUCGAAUGCAUUUAGGUGCAUGGCAAACGGGAGAGUAACGCAUUGGUAACCUACCUCUAACUCAGGAAUAACCCACCGAAAGGUGGAAUAAUACCUGAUAGUCUCAACAGUCAUAUGGUUGUUGAGUAAGGAUUUAUCGGUUAGAGAGGGGCCUAUGGCCUAUCAGCUUGUUGGUGAGAUAACAGCUCACCAAGGCUACGACGGGUAGCGGGUGUGAGAGCAUGACCCGCCUCAAAGGAACUGAGACACUGUCCUUACUCCUACGGGAGGCUGCAGUCAAGAAUCUUCCCCAAUGGACGAAAGUCUGAGGGAGCGACGCCGCGUGAAUGAAGAAGCCCUUCGGGGUGUAAAAUUCUUUUAUUAGGGACGAACAAAUGACGGUACCUAAUGAAUAAGGGGCUGCCAACCUCGUGCCAGCAGCAGCGGUAAUACGAGGGCCCCGAGCGUUAUCCGGAAUUAUUGGGCGUAAAGCGUCCGCAGGCGGUCUAUUAAGUUAAUCGUUAAAUUUCAGAGCUCAACUCUGAAACCGCGAUUAAUACUGAUAGACUAGAGGCUGGGAGAGGCAUGUGGAAUUGCCGGUGUAGUAGUAAAAUGCGUUAAUAUCGGCAAGAACACCAAAUGCGAAGGCAUCAUGCUGGAACAGUCCUGACGCUCAGGGACGAAAGCGUGGGUAGCGAAUGGGAUUAGAUACCCCAGUAGUCCACGCCGUAAACGAUGGAUACUAGGCAUUGGAAGUGUCGACCCUUUCAGUGUCGUUUAUAUAAGCUAACGCGUUAAGUAUCCCGCCUGGGGAGUACGGCCGCAAGGCUAAAACUCAAAGGAAUUGACGGGAACCCGCACAAGCGGUGGAGCACGCGGUUUAAUUCGAUGAUAAGCGAGGAACCUUACCAAGACUUGACAUCUAGCUGCAAAGCCUAGGAGACUAGGCCGCCUACGAGGGUGCUAGACAGGUGCUGCAUGGUUGUCGUCAGCUCGUGACGUGAGUUGUACGGUUAAGUCCGGUAACGAGCGCAACCCUUAUCCUGUGUUAAAUUUCUCACAGGAAACUGCCACGUACAACGUGGAGGAAGGUGAGGAUGACGUCAAAUCAGCAUGGCUCUUACGUCUUGGGCCACACGCAUGCUACAAUGGUCAGUACAAUGAGUUGCUAAGCCGUAAGGUGGAGCUAAUCUCAUCAAAACUGGUCUCAGUUCGGAUUGAGGUCUGCAACCCGACCUCAUGAAGCUGGAAUCGCUAGUAAACGCGAAUCAGCCAUGUCGCGUUGAAUACGUUCUCGGGUUUUGUACACACCGCCCGUC